AUGGACAGCAGGCUGAGAGUGUUUGUUCUCUUUUCUCUCCUUCUUUCUAGCUGGACGAGCACAAGUGCUUCUGAAGCAGAGUCAAGCAUCUGUUACCAGAGAGCAAACGAAAACUGCACGGAUUGACUGUGUAGCCGAGGGCAUAUCUGGCUUCCAGUCUGCGUAUAUACAUUGGUACCGACAUGCGCCCCCCAGAGCUCCCCAACGGAUUCUAUUCCGUGAUUCCGUGAUUCCGUGAUCAGGACAAGUCACUUAUGAUGAUGAUUCCUAUAGGAACAAGUACUCUUCUUGGAAGCAAGGUACAAAUGUCUGCACUUUCUCCAUCUAUGACGUCAACCCCAGCGAUGAAGGCACCUACUACUGUGCCUACUGGGUUUAA